CCGCCGCUGCCAACGAGCUCAACAACAACCUCCCGGGCGGCGCGCCGGCCGCACCUGCCGUCCCCGGUCCCGGGGGCGUGAACUGCGCGGUCGGCUCCGCCAUGCUGACGCGGGCGGCCCCCGGCCCGCGGCGGUCGGAGGACGAGCCCCCAGCCGCCUCUACCUCGGCUGCACCGCCGCCCCGGCGUGACGAGGAGGAGCCGGACGGCGUCCCGGAGAAGGGCAAGAGCUCGGGCCCCAGUGCCAGGAAAGGCAAGGGGCAGAUCGAGAAGAGGAAGCUGCGGGAGAAGCGGCGCUCCACCGGCGUGGUCAACAUCCCUGCCGCAGAGGAUAGCCGUCUUCUGGAAAAAUCUUUGUAUAUAUUUACAAAUCCUGUACUUCUCCUGCUUUGUUUUUAUAGUGCUUAGAUGAGUACGAAGAUGAUGAAGCAGGGCAGAAAGAGCGGAAACGAGAAGAUGCAAUUACACAACAGAACACUAUGCAGAAUGAAGCU
rnacentral:sRNA from 1 species